rnacentral:tRNA from 1 species
AUAUUUUAAAGUAAACGGUACUUCCUUGAUAUCUUCAAUAUCAUGCUCUUUAUAAGCUAUUAAAAUA